UUUAACCGUUUAUGAACAUAAUUUGUUUGUAUGAUUUCAAGUAUUAACUUGUGACCCCAAGACUCACGAAUAUUUCACCAUACGGGAUGCCACCCGAACCUGAUUUGACGUGCACAAUACUUGAACCCUUUUGUAAGCAUAGAUGUUCACAUUAAGUUAUUUAUUUCAAUAAGAUAAUUCAAUUCACUGUAAUUUUAUUUACGUUAGCACUUGAACGUGUCUUUCAUUAAAUGGUUUAUGUCAACACUGAUAAAUAAGAUAUUUUAUUGUGAAGUAAAUGCCAUAAGUAAUUCAAUUUCUGUUUUUUUUUAACAUAACCCAUAACCCGUGAAGUUCAUGGGUCUAUAAACACACUUGAAAUCAUACAUUUGGAUUAUGUAACGGAAAUUUAUUGCGUGAUGUAGUUUAUACCCUUUUAAAUUGAAUUUUAUUUGCUAUUGUUUUUUUUGUUACAUAUAUAAUGUUGUCGGUUGGGUCUAUUUGAUGACGAAAUUGUUUUCAUACUGCUUUAUCUUGAAUUUUAUUUUAAAAUAUAUGACAUAUGAAUAUAUUUCGCAACCCAAAUGAGUUGAAGCUAUGAUCAAAGUUGAUUGUUGUUACUCAAGCACAGGUUACGUCUCUCCCUUGAUAUGUUUAUAUAGAAUCAUACAAAAAAAAUACUUUUAUAGAUAUAGAUUUUUAAACACAACCCAUAACCCGUGAAGCUCACGGGCAUAUAACCUAGUCUAUAUCUAUAUCUAUAUAUAUAAUAAAGUAAACUAAACGAUGACACGUGUCGAUUGCUUAGGAGUUCUUGGAUGAGUUUUCCCGCUAAACCCAUUAACCUCGAUUAAUAUACCUUGGGUUGUACACGUGGUGCUCCAGAUUCUUUUCUUUUAUGACCCGGAUUUAAAUUUAAUUCAAUCACUAAAAUUUAGCCAUCAUUCGUUGUUUUUAUCUUUCCACUCCAAAACCCUAAACAACACUCCAUCAUCUCUCAACAGCGGCUCCUUUAACACAGAAUAUCCUUUUCGAGAUAACAAUCUUUCUUUGCUUUUAUAUAUCUGCAAAAUUACGAGACAUAGAUCCAAGAUUUGCCGCCAUGUUAAUCUUGAUGAUGAGAACUGCAAAGGGUUGUGGUGAUUUGAAGAGUAAUUUGAGGGGAGUAGUGAGGGAAGAUGAUGGGAUAAUUUAAAAUGAUGAAGACAAAUAGACCAUUGGAGUAUCAUCGUGCCACCAGAGGAACCACCCGAUCAUAUCCAUCUCCACUAGGCAUAAUGUCACACCAAUUCAUGAGGAAACCCAAUAAAUAUGGGAAAACCCCCCUUGUGGGAAUCGAACCCAGGACCUAUUGGUCCCAAAGCCUUAUCCCACCACCAAGAUGUCACUAGGCUAUAAAGCCAUGGGCUAAUGUUCCCUGUUUGUAUUAUGCAUAAUUUGUUUUUGUUGUUUUGCAUAGAUAUUGGGGAGAUAAUGUUUAAUCAACCAAAAUGUAAAGUUCUAUUAGAAAUAAGAUUUGAAUAAUUAGCCAGUUCUACUAGAAAUUAAAAUGAACAUUGUGUUAUCUAAGCGAAAUCAUUACAUUGAUGCUUUUAUAUGUUCGUAAUCAUGCUCAACUUUUCUCAUCUAACAUCUUUAACUGGAUGCUUUAUAAUUAUUUGAUAGACAUUCGUGUGCAGAAGUUUGUUUUGGUUUAUACGUGCUAAGGGUAUACGGGGCACUAGCGGGGAGUGCCUUCGGUGACCCAAUUCCCCUAGCGGGAACACCGCCGCCAUCCCUGCGGUGACCCAAUUCGGUGAAUGGGAUCGGUAGGAGGUUACCGCGUGAAGGGAGAGAGGGAGAGGGUGGCCCACAAGCUUUUCAACCAAUCAAAUUAUUUUCUUUUUUUUUUCUUUUUGAAUAAAAAAGCAAAUCCCUUAAGAGAGGAGUGCCGCCAUCAAAUUGAGGGUGUGAGGGAGUUUAAGAGGGGAGUUGACGUGGCGCGUGCUGAUUGGCCGUGCGUAAGGGAGGGGACUCCCCUAAGAGGGGAGUGCCCCUCUCACCCUAAAAUUGCCAAUAUUGGUGGUCCGCGCUACAUGUACGGUCAGGAGCGCAAAGGGAAAAAAGAUAAAACACAGCUUCACUUAUUUACACCAGAUGCUUGCAGAUAACUGAUGUCAAGACUAGAAAGGUUUCAAACCAUUGUUGGAGUUGACCAAUGAUGAUAUACAACCCUUUUUGAUAAUAUGUACAAUUGUAAAUAUUUAUUAGAAUAGUUAAUAUAUACUUUUUAUUUAUCAGGUA